rnacentral:rRNA from 1 species
UACGUAGGCGGAAAAUUAAGUCAGUGGUGAAAUCCUGCAGCUUAACUGUAGAACUGUCAUUGGUACUGGUUUUCUUGAAUACAGUUGAGGUAGGCGGAAUGUGUAAUGUAGCGGUGAAAUGCUUAGAUAUUACACAGAACACCGAUUGCGAAGGCAGCUUACUAAACUGUUAUUGACGCUGAGGUACGAAAGCGUGGGGAGCGAACAGGAUUAGAUACCCUGGUAGUCC